UUUUUUUAGGUUUACACAAGCUUGCAUUGCUGAAUAUGGAACGUUGCCCUAUUACUGCAACAUGCCUGGAUUCACUUUCAGAUCUUGUUGCUCUACUUUUUCUGAAUCUAAGCAGAUCUAAUAUCACUGAUGAUGGGUGUGACAAGUUUUCAAAAUUGAAGUCUCUAAAAGUGCUGAACUUGGGAUUCAAUGAUAUGUCAGAUGC